ACACCCCGAGGCCCGGGUCCCCGCCUCCUCGCCUCGCAGCGUCCAGGGAUUUGCACCAGAUUAUAUGAGCGAACAAGCUGUGCAACCACCCGAGCUGGGUAGGGAUUCUGCAGACCUCUCGGGUGAGUGGCCUGGGAUCUGUUGACAUCGCAGCGGGCCUCGGCCUCCCCAGCCCUCUCUCCGAGAAGGUGCUAGUUACAUGUGUCUGCUCUUUUUGUGGAAAUUCAUUAAACUGGACACUUACAUUUUUAUAAGUAUGCUAUACUUCUAUUUUUGGAAGUUUUGAAAAGUUGAGAAAAGGAAAAAAUAAGUGGUGCUUACUCUAAGGAUUCUGUGAGGAUUAAAUGAAUCAAUACAUUGAACAGAAUAAUGCCAAGAAUUCAGAAUCAUAGUCAGGUCAUUUUAAUUUGGGCCACAAAGACUAGAUGACUACCCUAGAGCAGGAACAGACACUACUGAUUAUCUAACCCAGUCGAUCUCUAUGUGUGUCUGCAUGCACGACAAUGGCUUGGGCACAUAUCUUCAGCCAAGUGCCUUCUCCUGGGAUGGCUUCUUCAGCAGUUUUGUUGAAGGCCCAAGUGGUGUGCCCAGGCUGGCUGUUUACUCAGUCACCCACAUGACUCCAAUAUAAGCAACAUGACUCUUUAUUUGAAGAUGUCUCUGAAGAAAAAAUACUUACAAACACUCAUGGAGGAAAUACAGAAGCAUCACAGUUUGAAGAAGAUAGAAAUGUUAUAGCCCAUUUUAGGAUCAAACUAAAGCAAUGCUAAUCAAGGUCCAAGGACUUUGCUCUGUGGAUCAAUAUAAACCUUUCUUUUAAACAAAACUUCUUCAAAAAAUGUAAGUAAAAAAGAAAGCCAUUUGACAAAAUGUGCAUUUAAAUAAACAGAACAAACUCAUUUAUUGUCUGCUUCUCAAUCUGUAGUUAACAGAAUAUAUUUUCAUACUUUCAUAAGUAAACACCAUAGCUCUAUGUGUCUUUAUCCAGAAGGACACAGAUAUCUAAAACCCUUAAAGUUGCCAUUAGGAUUGGAUAAAAAUAAUUCAUGGCCAAAUGUUCUUGAAAAAUACAAAUAAUAAGUCAUUUCUCUAAAGAAAAAAAAAGAAAC